AGGUGUGUGGGUGAGAUGUGAGAGGUGUGUGUGAGAGAUGUGAGGUGUGUGGGUAAGACCUGAGAUGUGUUCGAGGUGUGUGAGAUGUGAGAGGUGUGUGGGUGAGAUGUGAGAGGUGUGUGGGUGAGAUGUGUGUGUGUGAAAUGUGAGGUGUGAUGUGAGAGAUGUGAGGUGUGAGAGGUGUGUGGGUGAGAUGUGAGGUGUGUGUGAGAUGUGAGAGGUGUGUGUGAGGUGUGAUGUGAGAGAUGUGAGGUGUGAUGUGAGAGAUGUGAGGUGUAAUGUGAGAGAUGUGAGGUGUGAGAGGUGUGUGGGUGAGAUGUGUGUGUGAGGUGUGAGAUGUGAGGUGUGUGGGUAAGAUGUGAGGUGUGAGAGGUGUGUGGGUGAGAUGUGAGGUGUGUGUGUGUGAGAUGUGAGAGGUGUGUGUGAGGUGUGAUGUGAGAGAUGUGAGGUGUGAUGUGAGAGAUGUGAGGUGUGUGUGUGAGAUGUGAGGUGUAAUGUGAGAUGUGAGGUGUGAGAGGUGUGUGUGGGUGAGAUGUGAGGUGUGAGAGGUGUGUGUGGGUGAUAUGUGAGGUGUGUGUGUGAGAUGUGAGGUGUGAUGUGUGAGAUGUGAGAGGUGUGUGGGUAAGAUGUGAGGUGUGAGAGGUGUGUGGGUGAGAUGUGAGGUGUGUGUGUGAGGUGUGAGAGGUGUGUGGGUGAGAUGUGAGGUGUGUGUGGGUGAGAUGUGAGGUGUGUGUGUGAGAUGUGAGGUGUAAUGUGAGAGAUGUGAGGUGUGUGGGUGAGAUGUGAGGUGUGUGGGUGAGAUGUGAGGUGUGUGGGUGAGGUGUGAGAGGUGUGUGUGUGAAGUGUGUGUGUGAGAGGUGUGUGUGAGUUGUGAGGUGUGAUGUGAGAGAUGUGAGGUGUGAUGUGAGAGAUGUGAGGUGUGAGAGGUGUGUGGGUGAGAUGUGAGGUGUGAGGGUGAGAUGUGAGGUGUGAGGGUGAGAUGUGAGGUGUGAGAGGUGUGUGGGUGAGAUGUGAGAGGUGUGUGGGUGAGAUGUGAGAGGUGUGUGGGUGAGAUGUGAGAGGUGUGUGGGUGAGGUGUGAGAGGUGUGUGG